UUUAGCUAAAUAAAGCAGUUUUAGUGUAUAGAUCAUUCCCCUGCAAUUUCACUGCUCUGUUCACUGUCAUUUAGGAGUUAAAUCACUUUGUUUCUGUUUAUGCAGCCCUAGCCACACCUCCCCUGGCUAUGAUUGACAGAGCCUGCAUGAAAAAAACUGGUUUCACUUUCAAACAGAUGUAAUUUACCUUAAAUAAUUGUAUCUCAAUCUCUAAAUUGAACUUUAAUCACAUACAGGAGGC